GACGAACGCUGGCGGCGUGCUUAACACAUGCAAGUCGAACGAAAAGAGGGAAAGAGCUUGCUCUUUCCGGAAUUGAGUGGCAAACGGGUGAGUAACACGUAAACAACCUGCCUUCAGGAUGGGGACAACAGACGGAAACGACUGCUAAUACCGAAUAAGUUCCAAGAGCCGCAUGGCCCAUGGAAGAAAAGGUGGCCUCUACCUGUAAGCUAUCGCCUGAAGAGGGGUUUGCGUCUGAUUAGCUGGUUGGAGGGGUAACGGCCCACCAAGGCGACGAUCAGUAGCCGGUCUGAGAGGAUGAACGGCCACACUGGAACUGAGACACGGUCCAGACUCCUACGGGAGGCAGCAGUGGGGAAUCUUCCGCAAUGGGCGAAAGCCUGACGGAGCAACGCCGCGGGAGGGAUGACGGCCUUCGGGUUGUAAAACUCUGUGAUCCGGGACGAAAAGGCAGAGUGCGAAGAACAAACUGCAUUGACGGUACCGGAAAAGCAAGCCACGGCUAACUACGUG
rnacentral:rRNA from 1 species